GACAGAGGGUGCAAACGUUGCUCGGAAUCACUGGGCGUAAAGGGCGUGUAGGCGGGACAGUAAGUCGGGCGUGAAAUCCCCUGGGCUCAACCCAGGAACUGCACUCGAAACUACUAUUCUUGAGUGUCGGAGAGGAAAGCGGAAUUCCUGGUGUAGAGGUGAAAUUCGUAGAUAUCAGGAGGAACACCAGUGGCGAAGGCGGCUCACUGGCCCAUUACUGACGCUGACGGCAC
rnacentral:rRNA from 1 species